GAUGAACGCUGGCGGCGUGCCUAAUACAUGCAAGUCGAGCGAACAGACGAGGAGCUUGCUCCUCUGACGUUAGCGGCGGACGGGUGAGUAACACGUGGAUAACCUACCUAUAAGACUGGGAUAACUUCGGGAAACCGGAGCUAAUACCGGAUAAUAUAUUGAACCGCAUGGUUCAAUAGUGAAAGACGGUUUUGCUGUCACUUAUAGAUGGAUCCGCGCCGCAUUAGCUAGUUGGUAAGGUAACGGCUUACCAAGGCAACGAUGCGUAGCCGACCUGAGAGGGGGGUCGGCCACACUGGAACUGAGACACGGUCCAGACUCCUACGGGAGGGAGCAGUAGGGAAUCUUCCGCAAUGGGCGAAAGCCUGACGGAGCAACGCCGCGUGAGUGAUGAAGGUCUUCGGAUCGUAAAACUCUGUUAUGAGGGAAAAACAAAUGUGUAAGUAACUAUGCACGUCUUGACGGUACCUAAUCAGAAAGCCACGGCUAACUACGUG
rnacentral:rRNA from 1 species